GAAUACAGAGGUAAAGGAGGUUUGGGUAAUGAAACCUCAAGGCUCCAGUGCAAGGAUGAGGAUCCACUGCACCAUCAGAGCACAACCUGAAUGGAGGGGGCUGGGGAGAGCAAGGGCUAUGCUGGGGAGAUGGAUGCUCUAAACCAGGCAUGACCGUUCAGAACACAUUCCCUGGUCCCAAACCCUGAGCUGUGGAUGAUGCUUCCAGGCACAAGCCUGCCAAACAGGAGCUGUGCAUGGGAGUAUUUACUCCAGAGGAAGCCAGAGCCCAUUCCUACCCUUUUUUAGCAUUCAGGCACAUGGGCUGCCUGCUCAGCCAGAAGGUGGCUUGUGCUGAUAAAAAUCCAACAGCCCUCUUCAUUUGUGAUAUAUUAGUUUAUGUAUGCAAGGGCAAAGUGCUCUGUUCUGUCUGUCUGGGCUCCUUCUGCACAGGAAAAGAGAUCAGCUGGGCCAUGCCCUUACAGGGACAGUGCUGUUGUGUGCAUGUACUGGGAGUGUCUCUGUGGUAAAUGCUUUCAAAAGCCUCUGACCUACAUGUAAAGAUCUCAUUUCAUGUGGUGUAACUGAUUUCUAGGGAAUACAUGAGCCAUGCUAUUUGCUGUGAAAAAUACCAUGGCAUUUCUUUGGGAUGCUAAGGUGUCUGUUUGCACAUUUAUGUUAAACCGCAAUCUCCAUUCAGGUUUUGGAAGCACUUGGAUCAUGAAAUCAUUCUGCAUCAUCUUUAAUUUCCUAGAGUGGGCAGGAGGGAGAAAACAUUGAUAUGGGUAAAGAACCAGCAGCCAAGUUACCUGGUGCUGGGGUGCCUGGGGAAAGCCCUGCUGCCCAGGGGCUGGGACUGAGCUGCAGGUCACUGCACAGCUGCCUGGGGAGCUAAUCAGGGGUCAGUUAACGAAGGGAGCACCAGGCUGUAAGAGAAGAGUCUUGGGGUUGCUGUUUCCUUUGCUCACAGUGCACCAGGAGGGUCUGGAGGACUGGUGGAUGCAGAGUGCUGGAUCCCAAGCUGAACCUAGGCCUUGCUCUGACGUCCUUACAUGCAGCACCAACUGUGGGCAGUGACUGUGUGCCAUCUGAAGUUCGCACCAUGCAGCACCUGGAGUUUCAUGUAUGGAAGUAAUUAUUAAACAAGUUGGAUCAAAAUGCACCAGAGAAGCAAAAGCCCCAGAUACGGAGAGGGGAAAGUUGCACAUCCCUGAAGAAAACAAGCCAAGCAUGUCAGAGUCUCCAAAGUGUCACAAUGCAGCUGGUGGAGAGCUG